rnacentral:lncRNA from 1 species
AUUUUUUUUUGUCUUUUGAAACAGGGUCUCUAUGCAGUUCAGGCUGGCCUUGAACUCACUUUGUAGCCCAGGCUGGUCUCGAACUUGCAACGAUCCUCCUGCCUCAGCCUCCAAGUGCUGCGAUUACAGGCGUGAGCCACCACACCCGAUCACUUAUGUGAUUUUUAUAUGCAAAUUUACUGACAGUUUUGACUUCCAUCAAUCAAGAUGUCAGAAAGCAAAGACCUUCUGAAAAUCUUGGGCAAAUACUAUCUGGAGAAUGGAUAAUAUCAUCUCCUUAUAAGAUGGUGUGAGUGUGACCUUUGUGGUGUAGGGAACUCUACAGGAUGUUGAAUACUGCAGAAAACCGACCAUACUGCUGGCCCUUAGAGAAGAACUUGAAAAUGCAUGUGCAGUAAUCUCAGUGACCAAGGUUACCUGAGCAGCAGUUCGUCAUGCUGGUAAAUGUCUGGAGACUCAUGGCCAUCACUUUGAGCAUGUCUUGGAAGUGCAGAA